UGCCUUUCCAUAUUGUCUUUGCUGCCAUAAACUAUUAUUUACAACCGCAUGUCACGUGCAUAUAUUAAGAUGGUUAGACUAUAUAAAAGCAUGGCAUGUAAUUAAAGUGAUAGGACGGUCAGCAGGCGUAGAAUAUUCAGCGCUAUACCAACAGAAAAUAUCGAAAUGAAGACGAUUAUUUUGGCAUUGUUAUUGAUGGUGACGUAUAGUUACGCUGAUCCUGACUGCACUGCCCCAGCUUGUACAAUACUUCAGAAAUGCAUCUGGACAUGCGAAGGU